GAUGAACGCUGGCGGCGUGCCUAAUACAUGCAAGUCGAGCGAACGGACGAGAAGCUUGCUUCUCUGAUGUUAGCGGCGGACGGGUGAGUAACACGUGGAUAACCUACCUAUAAGACUGGGAUAACUUCGGGAAACCGGAGCUAAUACCGGAUAAUAUUUUGAACCGCAUGGUUCAAAAGUGAAAGACGGUCUUGCUGUCACUUAUAGAUGGAUCCGCGCUGCAUUAGCUAGUUGGUAAGGUAACGGCUUACCAAGGCAACGAUGCAUAGCCGACCUGAGAGGGUGAUCGGCCACCAUGGAACUGAGACACGGUCCAGACUCCUACGGGAGGCAGCAGUAGGGAAUCUUCCGCAAUGGGCGAAGGCCGGACGGGGCAACGCCGCGUGAGUGAUGAAGGUCUUCGGAUCUUAAAACUCUGUUAUUAGGGAAGAACAUAUGUGUAAGUAACUGUGCACAUCUUGACGGUACCUAAUCAGAAAGCCACGGCUAACUACGUG
rnacentral:rRNA from 1 species